AGCUUUUUCACCGUAGCUCAACUUACAAUUUCCAUGCUUCUGAAUCAAUCCUCUCUCUUUAUCAUUCAAUAUCGCGUUGAAAGUCUUAAGUCUUAAGACGGGACAUCUCUUGGGUCUAAUUGUUUUGGAAAGGCGUUUGUUCUACUUUACGCUUGCAUAAGAAGUUGUUGGACAUGCUGUUUGAGUAUUUGGAUGCACUUUCUAAGCCUAGAUGAACUGUGAAAACCUCAGGAGUGGCGAUUCUUUACCAUGAGAGUCCUAGACAAGCCCAGCAGUCUGAAGAUAAUGGCUAUGGUGAGAUCUUCACUGCAGAAAGUCAUGCUUUUUCUACAGCACAUCCAAAGAAUGGCUGUCACCUCACCACGCUAUCAGAAACUGUGCAAGGACAUUCAGACAGAUGUUGACACCCAGACUGAUCUUUCGAAAAGGGCUCUGGGGGGUCAGAUCCUGAAUACCAAAACACAAGAGCUUGAUAAGUUUGCCGAAAUGAACCACGUAGCUUCGAGAAGGGAGCGUUUGGAGGCCGGUGUGGAAAAAUGGACUGGACUCGUAGCCGUCCUUCAAGAGCUUUGGUUUUGGGUAAAGCUGAAAGAUGAGGAA